AGGAUUCAGUAGAUGAGCUUUGAGUAUCUUUCAAGUGAUGGGCCAAUCCUGACGGGCCGAAUGACCCUAAGGAAACAUGAAAGGUCUGAAAUAUGCGCAUCAGUUAUGGACUUUUUUGCGCGGCCCGUGACACUUAUAUGUGGCAUCUUUUCUUUUACAUACAGGUUUUCUUGGUCAAUGUAUUGCAAACGUUGUCGGGUUGGCUCUAGCCGAGAAGCACCUAGUUGCUAGGUUCAACAAGUCUAACAAUGAGAUUGUUGACCACUACAUGUAUGAUUACUUCUCGAGUUCUUACUGUUCAUUGUGUUAUGAUAUCUUCUAUGGAUAAUAAAUUGAUAUUUGUUUUUGUAGGUAUGCUAUUUUAGGUGAUGGUUGUCAAAUAGAGGGUAUUGCGAACGAAGCUUGUUCGUUUGCCAAACAUUGUGGACUUGGAAUGCUUAUAGCUUUCUACGAUGACAAUCACAUUUCGCUCGAUCGUGACACUAAAAUUACCUUUAUCGAAAAUGUCGAUGAAUGUUUUAAGGGGCUUGGGUGGCAUGUUAUUUGGGUCAAGAAUGGGAAUACUGGUUACGAUAAGAUUCGUGCUGCUAUUAAGGAAGCAAAGGCUGUCAAAGACAAGCCCACUUUCAU
rnacentral:lncRNA from 1 species